rnacentral:lncRNA from 1 species
CCCAGCCCCCUGCAACUCUGUGUUUCAGAAAACGAGUCUAUGUUGUCACACUCGGUAGAGAGCGUUAGUAGUACAGUUGCGCGGUUUGCGAUAUAUAUCAGUGGGUUUGCGCGAUUACCUUUACGGCCUUUACAGAGUGCAACCCGUGCAACUGCACUACUAGCGCCUUCAAUAAGAACUAAAAUUAUGUGACAUACUAGGUUACUCUUUUUACUUUUUCGCUCGAUCUAGUUGCAGGGGGCUGGUCAGACCAGUGUGUGGUACAGACCGUGAUUUUUUUGCGGAUCGUACCGGGAGACCAUCUGAGCCGAGGAGGUCUUCCAAAAAUACAGACUGACUGACGGAUUGCUUGUGAUUUUGAUGCUUCAUCUGAACACAUGCCUGCCUGCUUGAGCGGGCUCGUGAGCGCUUGAUGAGCGAGCCAAGGGACAAGAGUGAUGGCCAAAAAGAAUUCAUAAAAUUUGCACCAACUUUUUAAAGAGGAGGGGAACAUUAAUCAGAAACUCAUAGGUCCAAAAUUUUAGUUUCGGUUUAUUCAAUAUGUCUUAAUCGUUGUACAGAUGUUCUGGUGUUGAUGUGUAGUACUUUAACAAGUUGCUAAAUAGUAUUGUGGUGGAAGACAAAAAGAAAUGUAAAAAAAUGAUGAAACAUUACAUCACAAAUCUCACUAUACCAUGAUGAAGAAGAAGUGCGAUAUAUUUAAUAUCAUCUCAGGCAGAAUAUGAAAAAUAUUAAAUGAGAUAGUUAUUCUUGAAGUUGUAAGUAGAGUCUGAGCUCCGGCCUGUGUGCAGGUGCAACAGCUCUCUCCAGGAAUCGAUAUGUAAAAUAUUGUAUUCUUACCAUUUGAUGUAACUCGUACUGAAAUAAAUCAAUGAACGAA